ACGGCGAGUGAAGCGGCAAAAGCUCAAAUUUGAAAUCUGGCGCCUGCAAGUGUCCGAGUUGUACUUUGGAGAGGCAUCUUCGUGAGGGGUCCAGCCUAUGUUCCUUGGAACAGGGCGUCACAGAGGGUGAGAAUCCCGUUCGUGGCUGGAUACUCCUUGCAGUAUGUAGUGUCUUCAAUGAGUCGAGUUGUUUGGGAAUGCAGCUCAAAAUGGGUGGUAAAUUUCAUCUAAAGCUAAAUAUUGGCGAGAGACCGAUAGCGCACAAGUAGAGUGAUCGAAAGAUGAAAAGCACUUUGAAAAUAGAGUCAAACAGUACGUGAAAUUGUUGAAAGGGAAGCGCUUGAGAUCAGAGUCAGCCUUUGACAAACAACAUUCCUUAUGGAUAGUGCACUUGUUAUUGGCUGGGCCAGCAUCAGUUGGGACGGUAGGAUAAAGGCCUUGGGAAUGUGACUCCCUUCUGGAGUGUUAUAGCCCUUGGUACCAUACUGCCUGCCCUGACUGUGGACCGCGCUUCGGCUUGGAUGCUGGCUUAAUGGUCUUCAGCGGCCCGUCUUGAAACACGGACCAAGGAGUCUAACGUCUAUGCAAGUGUUUGGGCUCAAAACCCUCACGCGUAAUGAAAGUGAACGGAGGUGGGAACCCUGCAAGGGGUGCACCAUCGACCGAUCCUGAUGUCUUCGGAUGGAUUUGAGUAGGAGCAUAGCUGUUGGGACCCGAAAGAUGGUGAACUAUGCCUGAAUAGGGUGAAGCCAGAGGAAACUCUGGUGGAGGCUCGCAGCGGUUCUGACGUGCAAAUCGAUCGUCAAAUUUGGGUAUAGGGGCGAAAGACUAAUCGAACCAUCUA
rnacentral:rRNA from 1 species